rnacentral:rRNA from 1 species
AGUGAACGCUGGCGGUAGGCCUAACACUUGCAAGUCGAACGGCAGCACGGGUGCUUGCACCUGGUGGCGAGUGGCGAACGGGUGAGUAAUAUAUCGGAACGUACCUUAUUGUGGGGGAUAACGCAGCGAAAGCUGUGCUAAUACCGCAUAAUCCCUAAGGGGGAAAGCGGGGGACCGUAAGGCCUCGCGCAAUUAGAGCGGCCGAUACCUGAUUAGCUAGUUGGUGAGGUAAAGGCUCACCAAGGCAACGAUCAGUAGCUGGUCUGAGAGGACGAUCAGCCACACUGGGACUGAGACACGGCCCAGACUCCUACGGGAGGCAGCAGUGGGGAAUUUUGGACAAUGGGGGCAACCCUGAUCCAGCAAUGCCGCGUGAGUGAAGAAGGCCUUCGGGUUGUAAAGCUCUUUUGUCAGGGAAGAAACAGCAGCUCUAACACAGUUUGCGAAUGACGGUACCUGAAGAAGAAGCCCCGGCUAACUUCGUGCCAGCCGCCGCAGUAA